ACGGAAGGCAGCAGUGGGGAAUAUUGGGCAAUGGGCGAAAGCCUGACCCAGCAACGCCGCGUGAAGGAAGAAGGUCUUCGGAUUGUAAACUUCUUUUAUGAGGGACGAAGGACGUGACGGUACCUCAUGAAUAAGCCACGGCUAACUACGUGCCAGCAGCCGCGGUAAUACGUAGGUGGCAAGCGUUAUCCGGAUUUACUGGGUGUAAAGGGCGUGUAGGCGGAGAUGCAAGUCAGAAGUGAAAUCUAGGGGCUCAACCCCUAAACUGCUUUUGAAACUGUAUCCCUUGAGUAUCGGAGAGGCAGGCGGAAUUCCCAGUGUAGCGGUGAAAUGCGUAGAUAUACGGAGGAACACCAGUGGCGAAGGCGGCCUGCUGGACAGCAACUGACGCUAAGGCGCGAAAGCGUGGGGAGCAAACAGGAUUAGAUACCCUGGUA
rnacentral:rRNA from 1 species